AUGGAGAUUAGCAUCAAAGGUAAAGAGAGGGUGGAUGGCUUAAAUUUUACUAAUGAUAUGCGAAAGAAUCUUGUGACUUGGCAGGCUCCCGCUACGGAGAUCAUUAAGAUUAAUGUUGAUGCAAGUUAUGUGGAGGCUUUAAGGGCUGCAAGUGUGGGCGUCGUGGCCAGGAACCAUACUGGAGAAGUUAUCAUAUCGUCAUGGGAUUAUAUUGGGGUGUGCAAUAGCGCGGAAGAAGCGGAACUGAGAGCGACCCUUGCGGGGCUAUACAUUGGUAUUACUCUCCACAAGGCCAUCAUUUUAGAAACGGAUUAUUCUUUUGUGGCUUCUUUCCUUCGAAAUGAUCUUCUAGGCAGGUCUCCUCUGGUGGAUCUAAAGAUAGAAGCUUUGAGUUUAGCCAAAAUGAUGAUAAAUUGCAAGAUAUCAAAAAUUAAAAGAACGGCUAAUAGGGUGGCGCACGAGAUUGCGAAGUUCAGCUUUGAUAAUAGGUCCGAUGGUGUGCUCCUUAAUAGUGUUCUGCCCUACGUGGCUGAUUUUGUAACGGAUGAUUGUAUGAAUAUUUUAAGUUAA
rnacentral:rRNA from 1 species